CGUACUGCCGCUUCCUCCGCCGCGUUACUAAAUUCGUUUCAAAAGCCUUUCUGUGUCGUUUCUUGUAGUUUCCUGUUGGCAACGCUGUCCGAUGAGGGCUGAGCCCUCACCGGAGGACACAAUCUGGCCCCUUGUUUCUAAGCCUUUCUGAGUUUCUGUGAAUGGGGCAGUCUGUGGGCUGCUUCGCAAAUCCCACUUCCCUGGCAACGUGUUUGAGGAGACGAUCCAGCCAGCCCCAGCUGGUCCUGAGAGCAGCCGGUUCUAAUCGAACAGUUAGGUUCGGAUCCUAGAUUGUCGCAGCUUCACAGAAACUGGGAUCCCUGAGGUAUGAUACACAGGACAACUGGAGCCCAAAGGAUGGAGGAAGAGGAGCAUAUGCGUCAAUCUCUGACUCUGGCUUUUUAUUUUAAGACCAUUUAGGAUUUGUGCAACAGGAGACAGCUUAGACCGUGAAGGCCUGCCACACAAGAAUGAGGACCUGAGUUCAGCUGCACACAGAAGAGACCAGCUGGGAUGGAGCACACUUGUAAUCCCAGUGCUGGGAGGCAGAGACGACACACAGGAAAUGGUGAAGUGGUGAACUUAAGCUCUGUCAUGUCAGUGCUAACU